AACGAACGCUGGCGGCGUGCCUAACACAUGCAAGUCGUGCGAGAAAGUUCCUUCGGGAGCGAGUAAAGCGGCGCACGGGUGAGUAACACGUAGGUAACCUGCCCCCCAGUCUGGAACAACUAGAGGAAACUCUAGCUAAUGCCGGAUGAGACCACGAUCCCUUCGGGGGUUGCGGCCAAAGAUGGCCUCUACUUGUAAGCUAUCGCUGAGGGAUGGGCCUGCGGGCCAUUAGCUUGUUGGUGAGGUAACGGCUCACCAAGGCUGUGAUGGCUAGCUGGUCUGAGAGGAUGACCAGCCACACUGGGACUGAGACACGGCCCAGACUCCUACGGGAGGCAGCAGUGGGGAAUACUGCGCAAUGGGCGAAAGCCUGACGCAGCGACGCCGCGUGGGUGAUGAAGGCC
rnacentral:rRNA from 1 species